UNGGAAUUACUGGGCGUAAAGCGAGCGCAGACGGUUACUUAAGCAGGAUGUGAANUCCCCGGGCUCAACCUGGGAACUGCGUUCUGAACUGGGUAGCUAGAGUAUGUCAGAGGGGGGUAGAAUUNCACGUGUAGCAGUGAAAUGCGUAGAGAUGUGGAGGAAUACCGAUGGCGAAGGCAGCCCCCUGGGAUAAUACUGACGUUCAUGCUCGAAAGCGUGGGUAGCAAACAGGAUUAGAUACCCUGGUAGUCCACGCCCUAAACGAUGUCGAUUAGCCGUUGGGCAACUUGAUUGCUUAGUAGCGUAGCUAACGCGUGAAAUCGACCGCCUGGGGAGUACGGUCGCAAGAUUAAAACUCAAAGGAAUUGACGGGGACCCGCACAAGCGGUGGAUGAUGUGGAUUAAUUCGAUGCAACGCGAAGAACCUUACCUGGUCUUGACAUGUACGGAAGAACUCAGAGACGAGUUUGUGCCUUCGGGAGCCGUAACACAGGUGCUGCAUGGCUGUCGUCAGCUCGUGUCGUGAGAUGUUGGGUUAAGUCCCGCAACGAGCGCAACCCUUGUCAUUAGUUGCCAUCAUUUAGUUGGGCACUCUAAUGAGACUGCCGGUGACAAACCGGAGGAAGGUGGGGAUGACGUCAAGUCCUCGUGGCCCUUAUGACCAGGGCUUCACACGUCAUACAAUGGUCGGUACAGAGGGUAGCCAAGCCGCGAGGUGGAGCCAAUCCCAGAAAACCGAUCGUAGUCCGGAUUGCACUCUGCAACUCGAGUGCAUGAAGUCGGAAUCGCUAGUAAUCGCAGGUCAGCAUACUGCGGUGAAUACGUUCCCGGGUCUUGUACACACCGCCCGUCACACCAUGGGAGUGGGGGAUACCAGAAGUAGGUAGGGUAACCGC
rnacentral:rRNA from 1 species